rnacentral:lncRNA from 1 species
UGAGGGAAGCUUUUCAUAGCGGGAAUAGAGCUGGUCUACAAAAAUAUUUGGGGGGUGGGGAGGUGUCUGGUCUUCACACAUUGUGUGGAUUGCUCUUUUCACAGGGGGAAAAUGGCAGGAAAGAGGAACUUGUGACCAAGGAGCCCUCCUGUCCUGCAGUGUACAGGAACAGCAGCAUGCUGGACGGGCAAAGAGUCCGCCUGGGUUUGAACUACACUCUAAAGAUUUCCCCCACCAAAAUCACAGAUGAUGGCAAGGUAUUUUCCUGCCACGUGGCGUACCACCCGGAAAGAGUCCAGAAGAGCAGCACCACCGUGAGAGUAUUCGCCUACCCUGAGAUCUCUGUUAGGCUGCAGGAGGGCUCAGCUGGCACCGCGCAGAAGGGAUUUUGGAAGCCAGCAGCCGGGUGA